rnacentral:rRNA from 1 species
UACAGAGGUGGCAAGCGUUGUUCGGAAUUACUGGGCGUAAAGGGCGCGUAGGCGGUCUUGUAAGUCUUGUGUGAAAUCCCCUCGGCUUAACUGAGGAACUGCACGGGAUACUGCGAGACUUGAGUACAGGAGAGGGUGGGGGAAUUCCAGGUGUAGCGGUGAAAUGCGUAGAUAUCUGGAGAACACCGGUGGCGAAGGCGCCCACCUG